CCUACGGGUGACAGCAGUGAGGAAUAUUGGUCAAUGGGCGCGAGCCUGACCCAGCCAAGCCGCGUGAAGGAUGAAUGCCCUACGGGUUGUAACCUUCUUUUAUAAGGGAAUAAAGUGUGGCACGUGUGCCUUUUUGUGUGUACUUUAUGAAUAAGCCUCGGCUAACUCUGUGCCAGAAGCCGCGGUAAUACGGAGGAUCCGAGCGUUAUCCGGAUUUAUUGGGUUUAAAGGGAGAGUAGAUGGGUAAGUAAGUCAGUUGUGAAAGGUUGGGGCUCAACCCUAAAAUUGCAAUUGAAACUGGCAGCCUUGAGUGCAGGUGAGGUAGUCGGAAUUCGUGGUGUAGCGGUGAAAUGCUUAGAUAUCACGAAGAACUCCGAUGGCGAAGGCAGCUUACUAGACAGCAACUGACACUGAGGCGCGAAAGUGUGGGGAGCAAACAGGAUUAGAUACCCGAGUAGUC
rnacentral:rRNA from 1 species